UACGUAGGAGGCGAGCGUUGUCCGGAAUUACUGGGCGUAAAGAGCGCGUAGGCGGCACGGUACGACCGGUGUGAAAGCCCCCGGCUCAACUGGGGAGGGUCACCGGUAACGGCCGAGCUACGAGUGCAGGAGAGGGAAGCGGAAUUUCCGGUGUAGCGGUGAAAUGCGUAGAUAUCGGAAGGAACACCAGUGGCGAAAGCGGCUUCCUGGUCCAGCACCGACGUUCAGGCACGAAAGCGUGGGGAGCAAACAGGG
rnacentral:rRNA from 1 species